GUGCAAUAGAUAGUUAAUAUAGUCCCAGAGAUGUUGUAACAAUAUGACUAUAAUCAUCCUGUGUGUGCCCAGGCUUAAUGGUUUGAGGCCGUGUGAGGUGGGGCAGGGGACACAAGCCUAAAAUGCCAGACCUCCAGAGGCCGGUUUGGUUUGGCAGACAUUGUUUAUUAAAAGAUUCUCCCGUGCCAAGUCCAAGCCUAAAAUGAGUAAGACAGCUGCAUACCCUCCGGUGGCUGGGGAUGGCCCACAAAGUGUGGUGGAUACAAAUAGACUUUCAUAUCAUUCUUUCAUGUAUUUAUACAACAAAUAUCUAUUUUGAACCUACUAUGUGCAGAGUACUGGGAUAGGUCUUGGAGACAUAGAAUAAUAAAGCAAAGACCCCACCCCAAGAACCCCCUUCCAUUGUCUCCAAUACAAUUGUGAGUGGUCUAAAGAGGUGUUCCAGAAGCGUGAGGGGGGGUGGACGGAAGGGACAACUGUUUUGAUCAGUUACAUACUAUUAAUAAUUAUAACCACCAAAUCCAAGAAAACAGUAACACUUAGAGCCUAUAGGGAAUAAGAAAAAUAUUAAGUAUAAAUUUACAAAGAUACCCACCAGAAAGGCUAAAAUGAAAGUGUCUGACAAGAUCAAGUGUUGACGAAAAUAUAAAGCAACUGAAACUCUCAAACUCUGGGGGAAAUGUAAGUUGGUAAAACCCUGUUGUAAAAUUGGCGGUAUCUACUAAAGCUGAGCGCAUGCCAACCUAAGACCCAGCAGUUCCACCCCUGGAUACAUACACAACAGAAACAAGAGCUUAUGUCUACCAAGACAUGUGCAAGAAUGUUCCUCACUGCGCUCUUCAUACUUGCCCCAAACUGGAAUCCACCUAAAUGUCUCUCCACGGUAGAAUGGAUAUAUAAGUUGUGGUGUAGUCACACAGUAGAAUACUAGUAUACAGCAAUGAGUAUGAAUGAAAAUAUUGCUACACGUAACAAUGGAUAAAUCUCACAGGCACGAUGUUGAGCAAAAGAAGACAGUACACACAAAAGUGCUCGCUGGAUGGUUCUACUUGUAGAAAAAUAGAGAAAUAAGCAAAAUUGAUCUAUGGUGUUGGGAGUCAGCAUGGUUACUUUGGGAGGGAUAGAGCCAGGAAUGGGUGUUCUGGGGCGUGGCUCUACCUCCUGGUUUGGGUGUUGGUUUCAUGAGUAUUUCAGUUUGUAUUCAGACUUCCUGCUGGAGAUGUGGAAAUAAACCAAGAUCAUCCAAAUGAGAACAAGCAGAGGCUGUUCAUUCAGAGCUUGCAAGGGAGUCAGCCACCAUCACUUGCGUUUGGCAGGGAGGGACUCAAAGCAGGCAGGGAUUGCUAAAACCGGUCGGUGAAAAGCUGAUGGAGAACUUUGUAACGUAUGGACCCUCAACCAACUGACCCAUCUUAACAUCUCAAAAAGAGAUAAUAAUGCAAAUAAGUAGUUAAUGUUAUGAACUAGGAUUUUCUUGUUCUCCUGAUGAGACAACUAGGAAGUAAAUAGCACCACCUAUGAAGAAUGCUUUUAAAGAAAGCAAACCUGAAUCCAAUCAGGGCUUUGGCUCUGCCUAAUUACAAGAACUAUAGGGGGACAGAAGAACGGGUUAAACUCAAGGAUGCAGUCGUCAACAUCUUGAAUGUGGAAAAUUCUUCAGGACAAAUAACCUGGUUUCUUCAAUAAAUAAAUUACAAGGAAAAAUAGAUGGAGGGGAAGCCUAUAGGUUAAAAAAGAUUUGAGAGACAAAGCAAUCAAAUGCAAUAUGUUCACAUUGUUUGGAAACUAAUCUGAGCCAAACUAUUGUGAAAAAAACAAGGUUGAGGGCCGGCCCUGUGGCUGAGUUGUUGAAUUUGUGCACUCUGCUUCGGCAGCCCAGGAUUUCACCGGUUCAGAUCCUGGGUGCAGACACAGCACCACUCAUCAAGCCAUGCUGAGGCAGUGUCCCACAUAGAAGAACUAGAAGGACCUACAACUAGAAUAUACAACUAUGUACUGGGGG
rnacentral:lncRNA from 1 species